UACGUAGGGCGCAAGCGUUGUCCGGAAUUAUUGGGCGUAAAGAGCUCGUAGGCGGUCUGUCGCGUCUGUUGGUGAAAACUCGAGGCUCAACCUCGGGCUUGCAGUGGAUACGGGCAGACUAGAGUGCGGUAGGGGAGACUGGAAUUCCUGGUGUAGCGGUGGAAUGCGCAGAUAUCAGGAGGAACACCGAUGGCGAAGGCAGGUCUCUGGGCCGCAACUGACGCUGAGGAGCGAAAGCAUGGGGAGCGAACAGG
rnacentral:rRNA from 1 species